UACGGAGGGUGCAAGCGUUAUCCGGAUUCACUGGGUUUAAAGGGAGCGCAGGCGGAUUUGUAAGUCAGUGGUGAAAGGCUUAAGCUUAACUUGGGAACUGCCAUUGAUACUAUAAGUCUUGAAUGUUGUUGAGGUUUGCGGAAUGGGUCAUGUAGCGGUGAAAUGCAUAGAUAUGACCCGGAACACCUAUUGCGAAGGCAGCAGGCUAAACAAAUAUUGACGCUGAGGCUCGAAAAGCGUGGGGAUCAAACAGG
rnacentral:rRNA from 1 species